rnacentral:rRNA from 1 species
ACACUGCACGGACAGGCGAUAAGGAAUCCCAAGUGCACAGGCAUAGAGCCUGUGCUUUUGUACACCCUUAGGGCGGUGUACGAAUAAGGGCUGGGCAAGACCGGUGCCAGCCGCCGCGGUAAUACCGGCAGCCCAAGUGAUGGCCGAUCUUAUUGGGCCUAAAGCGUCCGUAGCUGGCCGCACAAGUCCAUCGGGAAAUCCACCUGCCCAACAGGUGGACGCCCGGUGGAAACUGUGUGGCUUGGGACCGGAAGGCGCGACGGGUACGUCCGGGGUAGGAGUGAAAUCCCGUAAUCCUGGACGGACCGCCGAUGGCGAAAGCACGUCGCGAAAACGGAUCCGACAGUGAGGGACGAAAGCCAGGGUCUCGAACCGGAUUAGAUACCCGGGUAGUCCUGGCCGUAAACAAUGUCUGUUAGGUGUGGCUCCCACUACGAGUGGGUGCUGUGCCGUAGGGAAGCCGCUAAACAGACCGCCUGGGAAGUACGUCCGCAAGGAUGAAACUUAAAGGAAUUGGCGGGGGAGCACUACAACCGGAGGAGCCUGCGGUUUAAUUGGACUCAACGCCGGACAUCUCACCAGCAUCGACUGUAAUAAUGACGACCAGGUUGAUGACCUUGUCCGAGUUUCAGAGAGGAGGUGCAUGGCCGCCGUCAGCUCGUACCGUGAGGCGUCCUGUUAAGUCAGGCAACGAGCGAGACCCGCAUCCCUACUUGCCAGCAGUACUUCACAGUAGCUGGGGACAGUACGGAGACCGCCGUGGCCAACACGGAGGAAGGAACGGGCAACGGUAGGUCAGUAUGCCCCGAAUGUGCUGGGCAACACGCGGGCUACAAUGGUCAGGACAAAGGGUUCCAACUCCGAAAGGAGACGGUAAUCUCAGAAACCUGAUCGUAGUUCGGAUUGUGGGCUGCAACUCGCCCACAUGAAGCUGGAUUCGGUAGUAAUCGCGUGUCACAAGCGCGCGGUGAAUACGUCCCUGCUCCUUGCACACACCGCCCGUCAAAGCACCCGAGUGAGGUCCGGAUGAGGCACG